GACCACCCCGGUGUCAUGUUACAGACUGAACACUACAGACUGACCACUCCCCCAGGUGUCAUGUUACAGACUGAACACUACAGACUGACCACUCCCCCCCCAGGUGUCAUGUUACAGACUGACCACUCCCCCAGGUGUCAUAUUACAUAAAUCCUGUUUUAUUUUCUUUCUGAUGAAUUCAAACUACUAAAUGUGUUUACCCACUACACUCAAAUAAAAUGAUUAAUAAAUGACCUGA